CAGUCGCCGCGGUAAUACGGAGGGUGCAAGCGUUAAUCGGAAUUACUGGGCGUAAAGCGUGCGUAGGCGGUUCGUUAAGUCUGCUGUGAAAGCCCCGGGCUCAACCUGGGAAUGGCAAUGGAUACUGGCGAGCUAGAGUGUGUCAGAGGAUGGUGGAAUUCCCGGUGUAGCGGUGAAAUGCGUAGAGAUCGGGAGGAACAUCAGUGGCGAAGGCGGCCAUCUGGGACAACGCUGACGCUGAGGCACGAAAGCGUGGGGAGCAAACAGGAUUAGAUACCCCCGUAGUCCCUGUCUCUUAUAC
rnacentral:rRNA from 1 species